rnacentral:rRNA from 1 species
GACGAACGUUGGCGGCGUGCUUAAUACAUGCAAGUCAACUGAAGCAGUGGUAGCAAUAUCGCUGUGGAGGUGGCGCACGGGUGAGUAACACGUAGGUAAUCUGCCUUCAGGUCUGGCAUAACUCCGGGAAACCGGGGCUAAUAGCGGAUGAUGCAGCGGCUCGACAUCGAGACAGUUGUUAAAGCUAUGGCGCCUGAAGAUGAGCCUGCGUCUGAUUAGCUAGUUGGCGGGGUAACGGCCCACCAAGGCAACGAUCAGUAGCUGGUCUGAGAGGAUGAUCAGCCACACUGGAACUGAGACACGGUCCAGACUACUACGGGAGGCAGCAGUAAGGAAUAUUGCUCAAUGGGAGAAAUCCUGAAGCAGCAACGCCGCGUGAGGGACGAAGGGCUUUUGCUUGUAAACCUCUGUAGUGAGAGAAAAAAAUCCCAAUCUUUGGGACAUGAUGGUAUCUCAAAAGUAAGCCCCGGCUAACUACGUG